GAUGAACGCUAGCGGCAGGCUUAACACAUGCAAGUCGAGGGGCAGCAUGACACGGAGAUUCGUCGAAGUGUUGAUGGCGACCGGCGCAAGGGUGCGUAACGCGUGAGCAACUUGCCCGUUUCUGGGGAAUAACCGGUGGAAACGCCGACUAAUACCCCAUGGCAUCAGGUUUAGGCAUCUUUACCUGAUUAAAGAAUUUCGGAAACGGAUAGGCUCGCGUGACAUUAGCUAGAUGGCGGGGUAACGGCCCACCAUGGCGACGAUGUCUAGGGGUUCUGAGAGGAAGGUCCCCCACACUGGAACUGAGACACGGUCCAG
rnacentral:rRNA from 1 species